CAGGACGAACGCUGGCGGCGUGCCUAAUACAUGCAAGUCGAACGGUCUUUCUAUGGAAGCUUGCUUCCACUGAGAAGAUAGUGGCGAACGGGUGAGUAACACGUGGGUAACCUGCCCAUAAGAGGGGGGAGUAACAUCCGGAAACGGGUGCUAAUACCGCAUAGUUUUCUUGAUCGCAUGAUCGGGAAAGGAAAGACGGCCUUUGUGCUGUCGCUUAUGGAUGGACCCGCGGCGUAUUAGUUAGUUGGUGAGGUAACGGCUCACCAAGACGAUGAUACGUAGCCGACCUCGAGAGGGUGAUCGGCCACAUUGGGACUGAGACACGGCCCAAACUCCUACGGGAGGCAGCAGUAGGGAAUCUUCCGCAAUGGACGAAAGUCUGACGGAGCAACGCCGCGUGAGUGAAGAAAGGUUUUCGGAUCGUAAAACUCUGUUGUCAGAGAAGAACAAGUUGGAGAGUAACUGCUCCAGCCUUGACGGUAUCUGACCAGAAAGCCACGGCUAACUACGUGCCAGCCGCAGC
rnacentral:rRNA from 1 species